rnacentral:rRNA from 1 species
CAUGGCUCAGAUUGAACGCUGGCGGCAGGCCUAACACAUGCAAGUCGAGCGGAAACGACUUAACUGAACCUUCGGGGAACGUUAAGGGCGUCGAGCGGCGGACGGGUGAGUAAUGCCUGGGAAUAUGCCUUAGUGUGGGGGAUAACUAUUGGAAACGAUAGCUAAUACCGCAUAAUGUCUUCGGACCAAAGAGGGGGACCUUCGGGCCUCUCGCGCUAAGAUUAGCCCAGGUGAGAUUAGCUAGUUGGUGAGGUAAGAGCUCACCAAGGCGACGAUCUCUAGCUGGUCUGAGAGGAUGAUCAGCCACACUGGAACUGAGACACGGUCCAGACUCCUACGGGAGGCAGCAGUGGGGAAUAUUGCACAAUGGGCGAAAGCCUGAUGCAGCCAUGCCGCGUGUAUGAAGAAGGCCUUCGGGUUGUAAAGUACUUUCAGUAGGGAGGAAGGUGUUGUAGUUAAUAGCUGCAGCAUUUGACGUUACCUACAGAAGAAGCACCGGCUAACUCCGUGCCAGCC